UACAGAGGUCCCGAGCGUUGUUCGGAUUCACUGGGCGUAAAGGGCGCGUAGGCGGCCAGCACAAGUCAGUUGUGAAAUCUCCGAGCUUAACUCGGAAAGGUCAACUGAUACUGUGCGGCUAGAGUGCGGAAGGGGCAACUGGAAUUCUUGGUGUAGCGGUGAAAUGCGUAGAUAUCAAGAGGAACACCUGCGGCGAAGGCGGGUUGCUGGGCCGACACUGACGCUGAGGCGCGAAAGCGUGGGGAGCAAACAGG
rnacentral:rRNA from 1 species